rnacentral:rRNA from 1 species
GGGAUUAGCUAGUAGGUGGGGUAACGGCUCACCUAGGCGACGAUCCCUAGCUGGUCUGAGAGGAUGACCAGCCACACUGGAACUGAGACACGGUCCAGACUCCUACGGGAGGCAGCAGUGGGGAAUAUUGCACAAUGGGCGCAAGCCUGAUGCAGCCAUGCCGCGUGUAUGAAGAAGGCCUUCGGGUUGUAAAGUACUUUCAGCGGGGAGGAAGGCGACAGGGUUAAUAACCCUGUCGAUUGACGUUACCCGCAGAAGAAGCACCGGCUAACUCCGUGCCAGCAGCCGCGGUAAUACGGAGGGUGCAAGCGUUAAUCGGAAUUACUGGGCGUAAAGCGCACGCAGGCGGUCUGUCAAGUCGGAUGUGAAAUCCCCGGGCUCAACCUGGGAACUGCAUUCGAAACUGGCAGGCUAGAGUCUUGUAGAGGGGGGUAGAAUUCCAGGUGUAGCGGUGAAAUGCGUAGAGAUCUGGAGGAAUACCGGUGGCGAAGGCGGCCCCCUGGACAAAGACUGACGCUCAGGUGCGAA